UAGGGAUUAGAUACCCUAUUAUUUUAAAUGUAAAUUAUUAUAAGCUAAAUUAUUAAAAGUUAAGAUCUUAAAAAUUAAAAAAUUUGGCGGUAUUUUAGUCUAUUUAGAGGAACCUGUCCUAUAAUUGAUAAUCCACGAUAAUAAUUACUUUUUUUAAUAAUUUACAUAUCGUCGUAGUUUGAAUAUUUUUAAAGAAUUUAAAUAUUCAGAAUUUUUAUAAAAAAUUAAAUCAGAUCAAGGUGUAGUUUAUAAAAAAGAAGAGAUGGGUUACAUUAAAUUUAUUAAAGGAUUAAAAUUUUAAAAGUUUUAUGAAUUUGGAUUUAAUAGUAAUUUUAAUAAUUUUAUUAAAAUGAUUUAAGCUCUAAAAUAUGUACAUA
rnacentral:rRNA from 1 species